GAUGAACGCUGGCGGCGUGCCUAAUACAUGCAAGUCGAGCGAAUGGAUUAAGAGCUUGCUCUUAUGAAGUUAGCGGCGGACGGGUGAGUAACACGUGGGUAACCUGCCCAUAAGACUGGGAUAACUCCGGGAAACCGGGGCUAAUACCGGAUAACAUUUUGAACCGCAUGGUUCGAAAUUGAAAGGCGGCUUCGGCUGUCACUUAUGGAUGGACCCGCAUCGCAUUAUCUAGUUGGUGAGGUAACGGCUCACCAAGGCAACGAUGCGAAACACAGUAGUAAGGGUGAACAGCCACAGUGGGACUGAUACACGGAUCAGACUCCUACGGGGGGCAGCAAUAGGGAAUCUUCCGCAAUGGACGAAAGUCUAACGGAGCAACGCCGCGUGAGUGAUGAAGUCUUUCGGGUCGUAAAACUCUGUUGUUAGGGAAGAACAAGUGCUAGUUGAAUAAGCUGGCACCUUGACGGUACCUAACCAGAAAGCCACGGCUAACUACGUGCCAGCCGCCGCGGUAA
rnacentral:rRNA from 1 species